AGAGUUUGAUCCUGGCUCAGGAUGAACGCUAGCGACAGGCCUAACACAUGCAAGUCGAGGGGCAGCACAUGAGUAGCAAUACGAUGGUGGCGACCGGCGCACGGGUGAGUAACACGUAUGCAACCUGCCUGUAAGAGGGGAAUAACCCGGAGAAAUUCGGACUAAUACCGCAUAAUACCACGAGACUGCAUGGUUUUGUGGUUAAACAUUUAUGGCUUACAGAUGGGCAUGCGUAUGAUUAGAUAGUUGGUAGGGUAACGGCCUACCAAGUCUACGAUCAUUAGGGGUUCUGAGAGGAAGGUCCCCCACACUGGUACUGAGACACGGACCAGACUCCUACGGGAGGCAGCAGUGAGGAAUAUUGGUCAAUGGGCGAGAGCCUGAACCAGCCAAGUAGCGUGAAGGAUGACUGCCCUAUGGGUUGUAAACUUCUUUUAUAUGGGAAUAAAGUGCAGUAUGUAUACUGUUUUGUAUGUACCAUACGAAUAAGGAUCGGCUAACUCCGUGCCAGCAGCCGCGGUAAUACGGAGGAUCCAAGCGUUAUCCGGAUUUAUUGGGUUUAAAGGGUGCGUAGGCGGUUUGAUAAGUUAGAGGUGAAAUCCCGGGGCUUAACUCCGGAACUGCCUCUAAUACUGUUAGACUAGAGAGUAGUUGCGGUAGGCGGAAUGUAUGGUGUAGCGGUGAAAUGCUUAGAGAUCAUACAGAACACCGAUUGCGAAGGCAGCUUACCAAACUAUAUCUGACGUUGAGGCACGAAAGCGUGGGGAGCAAACAGGAUUAGAUACCCUGGUAGUCCACGCAGUAAACGAUGAUAACUCGUUGUCGGCGAUACACAGUCGGUGACUAAGCGAAAGCGAUAAGUUAUCCACCUGGGGAGUACGUUCGCAAGAAUGAAACUCAAAGGAAUUGACGGGGGCCCGCACAAGCGGAGGAACAUGUG
rnacentral:rRNA from 1 species